rnacentral:rRNA from 1 species
UGGGGAAUAUUGGACAAUGGGCGAAAGCCUGAUCCAGCCAUGCCGCGUGAAUGAUGACGGCCUUAGGGUUGUAAAAUUCUUUCGCCAGGGAAGAUAAUGACUGUACCUGGUAAAGAAGCCCCGGCUAACUCCGUGCCAGCAGCCGCGGUAAUACGGAGGGGGCUAGCGUUGUUCGGAAUUACUGGGCGUAAAGGGUGCGUAGGCGGACAUUUAAGUCAGAGGUGAAAUCCCGGGGCUCAACCCCGGAACUGCCUUUGAUACUGGAUGUCUAGAGUUCUGGAGAGGUAAGUGGAAUUCCUAGUGUAGAGGUGAAAUUCGUAGAUAUUAGGAGGAACACCAGAGGCGAAGGCGGCUUACUGGACAGAUACUGACGCUGAGGUACGAAAGUGUGGGGAGCAAACAGGAUUAGAUACCCCCGUAGUCC